GUAUUCUAUGGUGUGCAAGCUUUAAAUGCAACUUAAGUAUUAAAUUAUUUUAGCACACCUUUAUGUAAAUCGUGCAUUACUGCUAGCCAACAUGAAUAUUAUAUA
rfam:Papio anubis isolate 1X1155 chromosome 4, whole genome shotgun sequence.